AUGCCUGAGCCAGCCAAGUCUGCUCCCUCCCUGAAGAAGGGCUCCAAGAAGGCGGUGACCAAGGCGCAGAAGGUUGGCAAGAAGCGCAAGCGCAGCCGCAAGGAGAGCUACUCUGCUGAAGCAGGUCCACCCCGACACCCGCAUCUCUUCCAAGGCCAUUCGUUAAUGACAUCGUUGAGGGCAUCGCGGGCGAGUCUUCCGGCCUGGCGCAUUACAACAAGCGCUCGAUCAUCACCUCCAGGGAGAUCCAGACGGCUGUGCGCCUGCUGCUGCCCGGGGAGCUGGCCAAGCACGCCGUGUCGGAGGGCACCAAGGCCGUCACCCAGUACACCAGCUCCAAG
rnacentral:lncRNA from 1 species